CACUUAAAAAGCAGGAAUUUCUCAAGGGUCCCCAGCUAAACAGUCUUCUUCCACUGUGUACUUCAUUGCUUUUGUUGGAACUGUGCCAGAUUACAUCAGUUGAGAAUCAGGCCCAGGCUUUACAGGGAGGAAAAGAGAAUCAAAAAUGGCAGUCCUGCUUAAGUGAAGUUAAAUAUGAAUUCAAGCUCUGAAACUGCAUACAAGAAGUUUCUUUCAUACCCUCUGGUAGCGAAUAAAAUUACCCAGUCCCAUUCUUUGCCUCUGCUCUGAUAUCUCCUUGCUCAGAGAUCUGAAGCGAGGAAGGACACAAACUCAGCCAUAACACCCUGGUUUGGAAGGCCAUAGAGAAGCACCAUCUCUUCAGAAGAGUAACUCCCAUUUUGCUGACCAAUGCCUUUUUCAACACAGGCCUUCCUAAAGUAUGUCCGUGGAAAGUCCUGCUGUGAAUUUAGAAACUCCUACAUUGGAGUUUUAGUUCUCAGCUGAUCGGGAAAAGUUGAAAUUUUUUUGUGUGAAAUCUAAUGUUUGAUAGAAAUGUGGAACUGUUAAAUUAUACCACAUGGAUAUAGCUCAGAGCAAAAAGCAGCAAAACCACUAAAUUCCUACAUAUAUGCUUUGUGCAAGUACAGAGGAUGCCUGUAUAAAACUAAUUAACUUGGCUUAAUAGCACAAGGUUAUUAAAAACACAGGCUCAUAAAUUAGGCUGCAUUCAUUGCCUUUCAAGACAGAAUUUGUGUGAAAAGAGCUUCCGUGGCUUACAAUUUCCUCUUAUGCAAUAGCUUCCACAUCUGUAAGGCUCAGAGAUGAGUAAGUGUUUCAAUUUGAGAGCAUUUUUCAGCAUCCUUCCUGAAGGACAGAAGCUUUCCUGAAUAGGCAGGUACAGGCAGGGACAUUAAUGUCAGCCUAUUUAUACACUGUUAAUCUGAUGUAAUGAGUGUUUCUGGAAUGCACUUGCACUCCCUCCACAUCAACACAAAGCAAAAUUAUUUGCUGUAUGUUUAGACAUUAAGUUCAAUCUUUUCUCGGAGAAGUAGAAAUUUUACUGCAGAAGAGCCACAGUUUAUGAAUCCAUGUACUCCAAAGUUACACCACAGUUGAUAUCAUGCUCUGUGCACACAUCAGCAAGGACUUAACUCAUUGGUACUGCCUUGCUAUCCUCCAUGAAGCUAUUUGCAUGGGAAAACUUGGAGAUAGGCUUAGGUAGAUCCAGGUCUACCUGUCCAAUUUCAUUAAUUCCAUGGUACUUUAUUAUUUAUUAUUUCAUAAAUUUCCAUGGUACUUACAUUGUAAGUAUAGCCAUGCCCCUUGACUGGGAUUAGCAGAGCAUAACUUUGUGAUAAGUGGUCCGGGUUGAACUAGACUUGCUGUUACAUUGGUCUUUAAGUACCAGUUACAUAUGCUGAUUACAAAACUCACUGUAGAUCCCAACAAUGUGUUUUCAUGUAUACAAUUAAGACACUAAGCAGAAAUUUGUGGGUUUGUAAUUUUCCUGUGGAGGCUAUGGUUAAAGGAAAUUUAAUCAGACAGAGGUUCAACAUGAUGGCAAACCAGAGCAUUUAACCUUUCUCUGUGAAUAGAUCCACAGGCCCAUCACUCCUCUGCAGGAAGACAGAAACAGAGACCCUACUCCCUGUGACACGGGUCAAAAUUGUCACAGAAAAGGAUGAGCAUGAGCUUUUCUCUCAUCCAUGUCUGGGCAACUAUCUAUGGCCUGAAAUGAUGAGGUCAGAUUAAAAAAAAAAAAAAAAGAGCUCACAGAGGCUUAGCACAAUUUCCCAAAACACUGUAUAUUUAUUUGUGUCUGAGAAUGAAUACACAAGGUUAACUUUAGUUCCUGUUUUUGAAAAUGUAGGCUUUAAUCUACAUAGACCAUCAUUUAUUCCCUGCCCUGCCCCCUCCAUUCCCUCCACUUUUUUAGCAGAUGGAAAUAUCAUUUUCCACAGCUAAUUUUUUCCAGGUGGAAUGUCUACAGACUAUAAAACUGAAUUUCUCACAAUCAUCCACAGACAGAAUUAAAACCAGAACUUUAAAUGAGUUAGAAUUUAAUAUCAGAAAAUUCCAUUUAGGUGAGUAGCAGGCAGUAGCAAGCCUGCAAGGGGGUGGCUUUGGUUUUUCAUUUUUCAUUACUGUUUUCAUUAGAAAAGUCUGUGAGAAAUUGGAUAAACAGUGGCCCCACUCUGGCUUUACACCUUUUGCAUAUGAAGUUAAGUAGUACAUAUAGCCCAGGGAAGAGGCUAAAGCACCAAAGCUCAGAUAUGUAUUCAAAAUUAUUUUCAAGCUUCAAUUGUGUUCCAAAGCAAAGUUGCUUAAACACAGCCCUGCAAUUCAUUCAGCCAGCUACAGACACUCGCAGAGUCACCAGAAGAUUACUCCUAAUGCAACUAAUCCAUCCCGUGGCAUGGAGUACAUCACAGAGAUUUAGUUACCACCGUCAGUGGGGAAACUAGAGAUCUGUGGCCAGAAAUGUCACACAGAUGGGCCUGUUUGAAAAUCCUCUGCAUCCUGGUCUUUCAAACCUUAAAAACAGAUGAAGUGAUUCUAGCAUGACCCCUGCUGUGAUAUAAUGGAUCCUGUCUGUGUGUGCAGUGUUUGUCAUGAUUUACCUCUUGCAGUUCCUGGCUCGUGUAACAGACAGCAAUUCUGAAAAUGAAUUACUAUUGAUUAGACAUCCUGCGCUAUUGAGUUCUAGGCAAUUUUAUUAAUUUAUUUAUUUGAAUAAAAGCUUUUAAUGACCCCACUAAUUCUAAAUGGCUCGAGCAAAACAGUAAUUCUUCUUCUUUUUCCCUCCUGUUUACAGAUGGCAGAUAUGUACUUAAAGGCCCUACCGACACUGCUUGUGGUUUGUCAUCACCCUUCCACGCACAGAGCUACCUGUUCAAAAUUAAAACACAGGCAUCAGAAGCGGGGACAGGUGGCAGGGCAGUGCUGAGGGCCUUCUUGCCUUUCUCUGGCUCCCAGCCAUGGUGGCAGGUGGACAUGGGCUCCACUUCACAGAGCCAUCACUCCCUCAGCUGAACACAGCUGUGGUGGGCUGCAAACAUAGCUCUGUGACCACGCGGCUGGGCCAGAAACACAGCAAGGACCCUGAAUUGCCUUGCUCACCCUGCUAACCAAAACAUUGUUCUGUGGAGAAAAGGGGUGAGGCGCUGCUCCUUCAGCAACGGCGUGGUGCAGGAAGGAGUGAGGGGCCUCACGGGCAGCAUGGGGCUCAUAGCAGCCUCUGUUUCAAAGUUUAAAUCUCUCCAGUGCCUUGCUAGGCAAAUCUGCUUACCGUGGCAAUAAACAGUGAGGCAAGAUGUAACCCGGUGCUGGGCUGCACUCUGACAGAAACAAGUAAAAAUAAUGCUCACUGGAGUCAGGCUCUCUUUAAAGCCUAAGAGAGUUUUGCAGAGGUGUUUUGCAGUGCAUGCAUACUAAUAGCAUUUCAACAGGAAUUUUCACCGAAUGCCCUAAUGCGUGAGAAUAGCAUGCACAUCUGAAAAAUCAACAGCCCACUUCCCCCCACUGGAGGAAAUGGAUUAAGCAGUAUUUUCUGUAGUACAAUGGACCUGACUGAAGGAAUAACAUGGCUUUUGAUAUAUGAUAAUUGUAGGAGACUGACACAAAAAAUAGGCCAAAUAAAGUCCUCAAAGGUACGUAUAUAGAACAUUUUCAAGGCCUGGAAAUAGCUUGUAUACAGAACAUCCUCUUUUUAUUCAGCCAAAAGAAUGUGCUUACACUGCAUAAAGGACAAGGGGUGGGAGUUACAAGUUGCUUCCUGUGAUUAUUUCCAGCCGUAAUCAAUGCAGUACUGAGUUAUUGGUUCUGUAAAGAGCCUGCUCUAUGCUAGCUAUGGAAAAAUAAAAUCCAAAAAGAGGAAGAGAGAGAGAGAAAAAGAAGGAGGGGGGAAGAGAAGGAGCUCAAGAAGGACUGCACUAUUAGAAGCAGAAAAACAGGUUCCUAAAGGAUGAAUUUGAGCUCAGGUAUAUUCUGAGGGAUGAGGAUUGUUGUUUCGAACAGAAUUAAGUGUAUGUAUACUGGUAAUUGAUGCUGAAUGCACAAGUUCAUUUGUAUCCAGUCAGGCUGCAUCAAGAUUCAUUGCAUUUAAUGGGAAAUUCACUCUUCUGGAUCAGAUACCUAUUUUCAAUUUGGACAGUAUCUGAUUCCAAUGGCAGAGGUGACAGAAAUAAAGAGGAGAUGAGAAGCAACUGCCUAUGGUAUAGAUUUCUGCAAUGCUAACACAGCUGCCAGUUUCUGAACCAGUAGGAUUAUCCAGGACUCUCCAGGCUCCCGACAGCUGGUCGCUGGGGUCUGAAUAAACGCAGCCAGUGCCGUGUGGAUCUGGGGGAGGAAGAUGCUCCAUGUAUCCAUAGCCACAGGGGGCUGUGCCACAGGGCCUCUGUGGGCUCCCCAAGCCACCUACCAGCUGGCCACCUCCCAGAGAAGCUGCCUCUGCCCCCUGACACCCACAGGACCCCUGCCCAGGGACAAUACCCUAUUGAGGGGUUUAGGAUGCUGGGAGUACUCACUAGCCUGAUUUCUCUCUUUCCCCUUCUCCGCCUCACUCUCGCCUCUCUGCCCUCUCCAAACCUCUCCCUUUUCUCUAACAGUGUAUUUCCCAGCCAGAGAGCCUUUUGCUACGGUGGGCCCUCUUAUCCUGCCAUCACGCUUCGCUGAGCCUGCUGUCCUGGGAUUGGGGAGAUGCUGAGCUGUAUUCAUUGUGACACAAAGUAAAAGCAGCAGGUUCCCAGCCUCAUGAGCAACAGCAACACUCCAGCAUUUAAUGGACUUAAACCUCUCCUGCAACCCACCUGUUUCUGGGAAAGAAUCACUGUCCUUUGAGUUUACUGCUAUUGUGAAAUGACCAUCAAGAUGACUUAUCAGUGACACUGAUGUGACACUGUCAGCACACAGAACAAAAACAGAGAGGUGGGUUUAUACUGUCAAGUUACAGCAAUUCAUACUGCACUUUAAAAGGC
ensembl:lncRNA